rnacentral:lncRNA from 1 species
AAAUAUGUAGGUGGCAAUUCUGUGGUAUGCAACACCUGGAAUAUGGCCCCAACUUGUGAGUUGCUAUCCAAAGUUGCUCGAUGUAAUUGAUUCUGUAUCUGCAGACGUCCAAAGAAAGCAUGUUAACAUUAAUAAUUACAUAAUGGAGGACCAAACACGAAAGUGAACCAUAUCGGGGGGGAGGGGGAGGGGGGGGAGUUGAAUGGCUGCUCGCAUAAACUGGACACCAGCCCUCGCCCACAAGGCACUUCUUUGUCACAUCAAUACUGAGCAUAUUUAGUGUAUGGUAAAUAAACUUCUCCUUUUUCACC